UCCUCGUUAGGAUAGUGGUGAGUAUCCCCGCCUGUCACGCGGGAGACCGGGGUUCGAUUCCCCGACGGGGAG
rnacentral:tRNA from 1 species